GGGCAAUGUGAUUUGUCACUUAAAGAGGGAGGCAGAUCAAGAGCAUCUCAUCCUCUGGCUGCUGAGUCAUCCUGCUCUGGCAGUUAUUUAAACAGAAGCCUCCAGGAGACAUACAAUCAACACUCCACUCAGACAAUGCCCAGACCUCCAGAAUGUCAAGCUCGGAUUGCCUUAGACAGGUGCAAUUUAAAAACAGCUUUCAUCCUCUUUUCUCUCAUAUUGUCACACUAUGGGUUCUGACUUCUGGCUCCUUUCCUCACAAGAAGCUCACCCAGCUGGAACUCUUAUGGCACCUUGGCACCAGAGACCACAAAUUCCUCUUUGAAGUUUUCUAACAGCAACAAUGGUAUUUCUGACUUGGCUUUCUUGUAUUUCUCUCACGUUAACAAAAUUGGUUGAGCAUCUACCACGGGCUACAUGCUGAGCUACAGAGUUUCGCUCAGUUGCCCAGGCUGGAGUGCAGUGGCAUGAUCUUGGCUCACUGCAAGCUCCACCUCCCGGGUUCACACCAUUCUCCUGCCUCAGCCUCCCGAGUAGCUGGGACUACAGGCGCCUGCCACCACGCCCAGGAACCCAACUUGCUGUUUGGUAUCACAUGUGCUAUACGUGCUGUUGAUGAAACUGCUAAAGGAGCUGAAUGUGACUGACAUCUUUGGAAGGAUGAGACUUAGCGUGCCUGUACAGUUGUGUCCAAAUGCUGUCCUUAUCUCCCAAUGGAAAGCUGAACUAGGGCCAUGCCUGGGACAGACAGAGAAUGGCCUUCCAGCAGACAUGCCAAGAAGCAAGCCAGGGUCAGUGAGUGAAGAGGAGGGCAGGCCCAUUUGAAGCAACACAGUUCAUGAACAACCCAUCAGAAGAUGUCAGAAGAUAAGGAUUUUUGUCCCGAUGCUACACUUACCAGCUGUCCCUCAGUGUUCUACUUCUUAAAAUAAGAGAGGUUGGUCCUGAUCCCUGGUUCUUAACCGGGGAAAAUAAACUGGGGCCAGGGCAUGUGCAGACUUAAAAAUUAUACAGGGCAAUGUAGGCACGAUCUGUUUAAGAAAUACUGGACUAAAUGGUCUCUAAUCUGUGAUUGUAGAUUAAAGAAUAAUCAAGUGUUGGCCAGGCACAGUGGCUCACACCUGUAAUUCUAGCACUUUGGGAGGCUGAGGUGUGUGGAUCACAUGAGGUCAGGAGUUCGAGACCAGCCUCGCCAAUGUGGCAAAACCUCCUCUCUACUAAAAAUACAGAAAAUUAGCGGGGUGUGGUGGUGCAUGUCUGUAGUCUCAGCUACUCGGGAGGCUAAGGCAUGAGAAUUGCUUGAACCUGGGAAGCAGAGGUUGCAGUGAGCCAAAAUCACGCCACUGCGCUCCAGCCUGGGUGACAGAGUGAGACUGUCUCAAAAAAAAGAAAAAAUAAAUAAUCAAAUGUAAAGUUAACACAUAAAGGAGACAUGUAAAUAUUAUUAAAAUCUAUAUGACUAUCUCUGCUUUUUAAUUUUUUGCUCAAUAUCUGUAUCUGAACACCUAAUUAAUGAAAGGAAAACAUUUGUAAUAUGUAGCAACUAAAAUGUCACCUUCUCUGUGGGGAUCACAAAGUCCUUGGCAAUCAGUACCAUACCAGACAAGUGAGUAUUGUCCUUCUCCUUUUCCAGAUGGAUAAACAGAGGCGACCCGAGGAUAAAGGCCUUGCUCAGUGUCACACAUUUCAGUCACUAAAUAAGACACAAUGGAUGCCAGUAUUCUCAACCCCUCACAAUAAAGAGCCUUCAAGCUCUUGCAGUCAACAAGAACUUUUGGAAUGAUUUCACUGCCUGAAAAGGCAGAUACAUAGAUGACAUCCACAAAUAGGAAGAAAAUCAACCUGCACCUGAGUGUGUGGGCUCACUGACCCUAAGCAGUAGAGACAGAAGAAAAAUAAAGUUUUAGCAAAGAAGGGUUCUGAAAGAAAGUAAAUAUAGCUCGUUAUCAAGCGCUGUUUUUACACAGUAAAACAAGGGAAAAAUUACUCUUCUUUAAGUAGUAAUUCCUCUCUUGAUUAAGUCACCUACUCAUUCAUUUAAUAAAUACAUACUGAUUGCUUUCUAUGUGUUGAGCACUCUUCUCUGUAUUGGAAAUAUAAUAAUGACCAAAGUUGACAAUAGUAAUAACAAUAACAGCUAAUAUAGCAGGCACUAAUAAUUAUUUGUUGAGUAAAAUGUCAAAAUUCAGUGUGAACAGCAUUCUAUUUGGGGCUGCAUCCACUGACUAUAACACAGCUAAUCUAUCUGAAUUUUCAGCUUUGGGCCUCUCUAACAGAAGAAGCUGUUGUUGGGCCUGCCUCUGGUUGGCGAUGCAUCCACCGAUGAGAAUGAAUUUAUGAUCGAUCACUCUUCCUGUAAAGGCCGCUGGAACUGACAGCAUUGUGAUUUUCUUUUACUGUUAGUUUUAAAUUACUAGAACCAACUCAAUUACUAGAACGAACUUUACUUGUUUGUUUCCUACUUACCAAAAUAGUAAAAACAACAUGUAAAAUCAAAGUAAUGCCAUCUUAAUAUUGUUUUGAUGACAAAACAGUGUUCCUUUCAGUUGUGCUUCAAAUGGAAUAAGACGCAAACAGGCUUGGUAUGGUGGCUCACCCCUGUAAUCCCAGCCCUUUAGGAGGGUAAGGUGGAAGGACUGCUUGAGGCCAUGAGUUUGAGACCAGCCUGCGCAACAUAGCAAGACCGUGUCUCUACAAAAAAUAAAACAUUAGCCAAGUGUAGUGGUGUGUGCUUGUGGUCCCAGCUACUUUUGAGGCUGAGGAGGGAGAAUCUCUUGAGCCCAGAAGGUCAAAGUUGCAGUGAGCUGUGAUUGUGCCAUUGCCCUCCAUCUUGGACAACAGAGCAAGACCCUAUGUCGAAAAAUAAAUAAAUAAAAGACACAAAUAU